rnacentral:rRNA from 1 species
UAUACUGUGAAACUGCGAAUGGCUCAUUAAAUCAGUUAUCGUUUAUUUGAUAGUACCUUACUACUUGGAUAACCGUGGUAAUUCUAGAGCUAAUACAUGCUAAAAACCUCGACUUCGGAAGGGGUGUAUUUAUUAGAUAAAAAACCAAUGCCCUUCGGGGCUCCUUGGUGAAUCAUGAUAACUUAACGAAUCGCAUGGCCUUGCGCCGGCGAUGGUUCAUUCAAAUUUCUGCCCUAUCAACUUUCGAUGGUAGCAUAGUGGGCUACCAUGGUAUCAACGGGUAACGGGGAAUUAGGGUUCUAUUCCGGAGAGGGAGCCUGAGAAACGGCUACCACAUCCAAGGAAGGCAGCAGGCGCGCAAAUUACCCAAUCCCGACACGGGGAGGUAGUGACAAUAAAUACUGAUACAGGGCUCUUUUGGGUCUUGUAAUUGGAAUGAGUACAAUUUAAAUACCUUAACGAGGAACAAUUGGAGGGCAAGUCUGGUGCCAGCAGCCGCGGUAAUUCCAGCUCCAAUAGCGUAUAUUAAAGUUGUUGCAGUUAAAAAGCUCGUAGUUGAACCUUGGGCCUGGCUGGCCGGUCUGCCUCACCGCAUGUACUGGUUCGGCCGGGCCUUUCCUCCUGGGGAUCCGCAUGCCCUUCACUGGGCGUGUUGGGGAACCAGGACUUUUACUUUGAAAAAAUUAGAGUGUUCAAAGCAGGCCUUUGCUCGAAUACAUUAGCAUGGAAUAAUAGAAUAGGACGUGCGGUCCUAUUUUGUUGGUUUCUAGGACCGCCGUAAUGAUUAAUAGGGAUAGUCGGGGGCAUCAGUAUUCAGUUGUCAGAGGUGAAAUUCUUGGAUUUACUGAAGACUAACUACUGCGAAAGCAUUUGCCAAGGAUGUUUUCAUUAAUCAGUGAACGAAAGUUAGGGGAUCGAAGACGAUCAGAUACCGUCGUAGUCUUAACCGUAAACUAUGCCGACUAGGGAUCGGGCGAUGUUAUUCUUUUGACUCGCUCGGCACCUUACGAGAAAUCAAAGUC